rnacentral:rRNA from 1 species
CCUACGGGAGGCCGCAGUAGGGCAUAUUGCUCAAUGGGGGAAACCCUGAAGCAGCAACGCCGCGUGGAGGAUGAAGGUUUUCGGAUUGUACACUCCUUUUGUUAGAGAAGAUAAUGACGGUAUCUAACGAAUAAGCACCGGCUAACUCCGUGCCAGCAGCCGCGGUAAUACGGAGGGUGCAAGCGUUACUCGGAAUCACUGGGCGUAAAGAGCGCGUAGGCGGGAUAGCAAGUCAGAUGUGAAAUCCUAUGGCUUAACCAUAGAAUUGCAUUUGAAACUGUUAUUCUAGAGUAUGGGAGAGGUAGGUGGAAUUCUGGGUGUAGGGGUGAAAUGCGUAGAGAUCAAGAGGAAUACUGAUUGCGAAGGCGACCUGCUAGAACAUAACUGACGCUGAUGCGCGAAAGCGUGGGGAGCAAACAGGAUUAGAUACCCCAGUAGUC